GAUGGCUGACGAGAGAGAAGGGGUGCAGGAGACAGGCCGUAUGCAGUCUCUGCCCCGGAGAUUGGCUCAAAGCCGUGCACGCCUCGUGAGCUCGAGAGGAAAAGCGGAGACCAAGAAGCAGCGACGGAAUCCACAUCAGCGGAGCUUCGUCCUCCUCCGGAGCCCCACUCUUGCAAUCUCCCACGCUUCAUAAGAUCCCCCCAAGAAAGACAAAACCUGCAGGUCGGAGCGUCUGAAAAGCUACUCCUGAGACGGCUGAGUGCACUGACUGCGGUACUGUGAAAUGCUGCCUUUGCUUGGGCUGCAGCCGAUCCAUCGCGGCCGGGGGCGAUGGGUCUGUUCUGGGGAGGUGCUGGGUCUCUGGCUGGGCUGCAGGGGGCUGGGCUGGUUGCAUCCAACAGGUUCAUGGCCGAUCGAGUUUUUCCCUUCUUCGCCUUGGAUCUUCUCGCUGCAGAGAUGGAGGACGGGCGGUGCCUCUCCGUCGGAUUCGCCAGCUGCGUCCCCCCCACACCCUGCUCUCGGACUCCAUCGUGGGGUUUGGCACUUGCGGGCUUUGGCGCGGCGGCAGAUCGGGGCUGGGUUUCUGCUGUCGGUUUCAUGCCCACACUCCGCCCCCUCCUCCUCCCCCUGCGCCUGCCGGAGCAGCGAGCUCACCCUCCCCACCUUCCCCCCCACGGGCUCACAGGCUGGCACUGGGAGUGCGCACCCUGCCUCCGCCCGGCGCCGGCUCCGCGGGACACAGGCACCCUUCCCCCCUUCCCUCCUCCUUCCCCGCGGGACUGGGAGCCCCCCCCCGCCUCCCUCCCCUGGUGCGCGGUGAGCGCAGCUCACCUCCACCCCCCUCUCCCUGCACUUUCUCAGCGGAGAGAGGACGGCUUGAUUCUUAAAGUGACAGCUGCACAUUUUUGUACCUUGCUGACUGUAGGUUGCUGCUGUAACUCUUGGUGAUGUUUUUAUCCUUCUGGUUGUGCUGGAUCUUAGAGGUUACCGGAUACGAUGUUAAGUGCUUGUUAAUUGUAAUGCUAUAUUGGAGUGAGAGUGAUAAGUCUGUGACUGGUCCUACCAUAGUGAAACUGAUAGAUCAGCAAUUUUUUUUCCUUUUGGGGCUGACUGAGCUAAAGGUUUCUGUUUCUCUACAUGCCAGGGCUUCGUGAUUUUUUUUCUUUUUUCCCUUUUUUUUAAGAACCUCACUGCUCAGUGUAAUAUUCCUUUUUAAAACUUUUCCUUUGGGUUUCUUAUUUUUUCUGUGUCUGGAAUCAAUUCCAGGGGUCAAAAUCUUUCCUUUAUCAAGUUUCAGCAUUCAUAUAGUUAAGGAUUACAGAGUUACUGUAGGUAUAUUGUGGGAUAAUGUUUCCUGCUUAGGGUUUUUCUUUGAAGGGUAAGAAUCAUGUGGAAACAGAACACAGCAACACAACGCAGAGAGGUAACAUGGUUAUGAUUUUGGCAAGGUUCCUAUGACAAAGAGUUUUGGAUCCUGUUUCAUGCCAGCUUAGGCACUGGCUUUCUGUGGGACUGGCCUGUGACAGGUCACUGUGGCUGUACCAUCACACUUAUGCAAGUUAUAAGCUCAGAUAUCACACUUCACACCUGCUUAUGCUGAUUGCACACCAUGGCGCUCACAAAGCACACACACACAAAGGGAAAAAGAGGGCAAAUGUGCCUGGAUUUUUGGUUUGAUGGAUGUCAGCUUGGAUGUUCAGACUGUUUUCUUGGUGGUGAGCAAAGGCUUCUGCUCAGAUGGCUGUGUAUUGGAAUGUACACUGAGAUAUGGUUAUGCUUUUAUCAUGCUUAAUGGAUUUAGGUUCCUGCUUCACAAGCUUCCAGCAAUGCUAUUUUAAUGAGUAGGCAAUGGCACAAGGGGAGUUUCCAGCUGGACCCUCUGUUAUUAGAGCACAGAAGGACCUAUGCAUUGGACGAGAUAAGGAGCAGCUGCCUUUGUUAGCAGUGUUUCAGAGGUGCUGUGUUUGGCAUUUCUUUUGCACAGGGCCCUGCAGACUGGAUGAGAAACACUACCUCCGUUUUAAAGAAGGAACAGAAAGGGGAGAUGUGGGAAUGCAGAAUGCAGAAGAGUUGUGGGGUGCAGGUGCAGGAGAGCUGUGGGAAUGGACUGAAGAGAAGUGACAACAGGCAGAUCCUUGUAAUAACAGACCUUGGUUCUCACCUGCAGCUGGCCACCUUAUCUCACAAGGGGUAGAUAAAGGACCUCGCUAACGAGGAUAACAAGGCAUGGACUUAUGCAGAUGUGGUGGGUCAUGCCUGACUGAUUAUGCUAAUGUGUAGGCCUGUGCUCUGCUGGCUGAGUGUAUAAAUUCAGGCUGCAAUGAUCAAUAAAUGGCUUCUGCAUAGUUCAAAUUGAAUCACUCUGAAUUCUCAGGUGGCUGCCCCGAACCAUACUGGUCUAUGGGCUUGUUUGCCGCUGUCCUGCCGGCAAGCGGAAAUAGCAGGCAGAGUGGCCUGCAACACAGGUUGUACUGGGAGUGAGUUCAGGGUGUACUGGGAGGGCUCAGAGUAUCCAUUUGGCAUUUGGAGGGAUCCAGGCAGUACUGGGAGGGUGAAGGGGAUCCAGUUUGUACUGGAUUGAAGCCCAGUCUGUACUGGGAAGGGAUGAGGGCGUAUAGGGUUAACACUCCAGGGGGAGUAACCCUGAACCUGACCCUGGGGAUCUUGACCACUCCCCAGGGGUGGGUCUGAACAGCACCAGGUGAUGGUUAGCCCACUCCCCCUUCCUGUCCCACAAAAGCAGGGGGACUUCCUGUUUCAGUCUCUCUCUGUGCCCCCCUGACUCGGUUAUACCACCAUUGCCAUCUGUUUCCUGGGUUCUCUUUGUUCUACCACGUGGCCAUCACCCACGAGGGGCACAAAGCCAUCACCAGCACAAUCGGGGCUGUGGGAACAUUCUGGGGGUAAGAGCCAGAGCCAGCAGUGAGCAGCAAAAGACUGAAACCAGAACCACACUGGGAGAGAAGAUUCCUGCGGCCAAACGCCGCUCGCAGUCAGUACACUGCUGGGCCACCAGAGGGGCUCAAGGAGCUCUUUCUGCUGGUGGCAGGAGGCAGCACAGAGUUACAAAGAGGCAUUGAAGCAUUUCCUCACAAAGUCUCAUUGCCCUCUGGCGGGGGCUGGCCACAGUCCAGGCAGUGCCCAAACGCUGCCAGGGGCCUCUGCCUGGUGGGACGUUGAGACUUGAUUCUUCCCAGCUGCUGGGGAAAGAGGCAGACAAGCUCUGAGCUUGUCUGCUGGCUCCUCUGGAGGCCCUGCACUGGGCAGGCACAAGCUAAGUGUGCUCCUUGUUUCCCACAGCGCCCUGGGCAGGCCUCACGCAGUGGCUGCAGGUUCCUUGGUGUCCUUUUCCUGCGCUUGUCUCUCUGGUGCAGCAGAGAAACAGCCUGGGCAAGGCAGGA